AAUAAUCAAAAGAUCAAUUCUAUUUUAGGAAACACAAAAUUCUCAUAACUUCAAGUUUUAGAUUUCAUCGUCGUAGAUUGCAACCUAGGAGACAUGUCCAUGAAGUCAUUCAAAUUAGCACUUUUCUUUGUGAUUCUUGCCAUAGAGGCCUGCUAUGGUGAUUCAUUGUCAAAUGAACAAUUAACAAAGGAUCAAGUGAUAACUAUAGUUCCGUGUCAAACAAAGCAGGAUUGCAUUCGCAACAUUCGUUUUAUGAAGUGUGGCCCAUCAGUCGUAUUCUGCUAUGAAGGAUAUUGUGCUUGUAAACAUUUAAACAAAGAAUCAGGUCAUUCAUUUUCAGAGGAUCCAAUGACAAAGACAGGAAUGGACAGAUCUACUUAAUGAAACAUUUUAAAAAAAUGUGUUUUAAGGUUGUAAGAAUCAAGGGAUCCAAUAGGAUAGUCUAGCCAUCAAUAAUAGUGUGAACAUAUAUGAUUCAUGCUUGACAUGUAUAAAAUUGGAGAAUAAAAGAAAGGUGUCCCUUAUUCUAUUUUAUGAGAUCA